ensembl:lncRNA
CUGUCAGCUGUUUAAACAGCUGUUGAACUUUCCAGACGCAGCAGUGCUCGUCACAUUUAUUCUCUUGUUUCUGAAAGUAGACUGUCUUACAUAUGUUACAGCGGACAUUCAUUGUGUAGGUCAGGGCGUGAAGUAAACUCAGUCCUAAACCUUUACUCGGAGUGCUUUAAAACUAGCGCGGUGCAGAAUUUCUGCUGCACACGAGGGAUUGUAGGGCACAAGUGUGUCGCACACAAUGACGUCACCAUCACCAGCCAAUCAGAAGCGCGCUCUGACAUAAACAGGAAGUCCUUCAUCCAUGUUCGAGUCGCAGGAAAAGCGGUUAAUGUUUGUUUUUAAACACUGUUAUAUAUUAAGUAGAGCGGCACCAAGUAAAAAGGCGCAGCAAGUAAACAGUCAGAUCUCGAAGUCGAUGUGUCGGAAGCAGUGAAUAUGGACGAGCCUAAGGAGCUGAGCGAGUUUGACAAGGGCCAGAUUGUGAUGGCUGUACGACUGGGUCAGAGCAUCUCCGAAACGGCGGGUCUCGUGGGCUGUUCCGAGACUGCAGUGCAAGAGACCAUGAACGAGAUUGGCCAGGACAAGGGUGCCGUCUCUAAUGAAGUAAAGGGCGGAGCGGAGAAGAGAGGAAGGGGGAGGGCCCGAAAGAAGCCAUAGGUAUUGCGAAGGACUUCGAGAGUUCCUGUAUGCCCAAGAAUUUAAUCACGUGAUUGUUAACUUGAAAGUUAAACAUGCAAACUGAGAUUAUAAAAAUACAGGCGUGUUCAAAUGUGAUUCUGCCUCCUGUCUGUCAGUCGCCAUCGCUGCCCCAUAACCGCCAAACAAACCCCUCCUACUUUUACACGUAGAGUAAUGUGAUGGAAAACGAACACUUGCUUGGUCAGUAUACGGUUAGGCCUGGGUUUAGAUUUCUUGGUGAGCCACACACACACACACACACACACACACACACACACACACACUAUUUGGUGAAGGAUCACCAUUUAUAAGAGCUUCAUGCCAUUCAAAUCCAGGCCUAAUGGUUAUUAUGGAAAAGAUGCUUUAUGCCAGGGGUGUCAAACAUACGGCAUGAUCAAGUUUCUAAUUCAGACCAACAAACCCUUCUCGUCCUGCUCAAAUGUUUACACCCCCUUGACUCUUAAUCUAUCGUGUUGCCUUCGUGAGCAUCAGCGAACGUUUGCACCUUUUGUAAUCGUCGUGUACGAGUCCGUCGGCCGUCCUCAGAGUGAAAAGAUGGAUCUCGACAUCAUAUAGCCGCUGUUGAAAGGGCUCAAAUAUGGAGAAGAUGAUGGAAAAGUAAAGAAUGUGCAGGACCUGGAAGAUUUUUCCGAAGAACAGCGGGCAGUUUAACUCCUCAGGACAAACGAGAGACUCGUGAAGAGCUCUCGCAGAACAUACACACAUCAUGUCGUGGAUCAUCCAGGUAACGACACACCGGAUUAAUAAUCGAGCGUGUGUAAACUUUUGAGCAGGUUCAUUUGUAUAAAUUCAGUUAUUAUUGUGUCUUGUGGACUAUAUGUAAACAUCUGUUAUGUGAAAUAGAUUAUUCAGGGCAGGACUAAAGAUGUUUUCUGUGACCCUAGUCCUGAAACUCUUCAGCAUCUGUUUCGUUUACGAGUUACAAUCUCGUAACGAAACAGAAAUUGAAGAAGAGAUGCUAUGAUCCAUUUCAGCCCCAUCGGAAACAACUCAACGAACUAUUACAUUAACUAUUAAUAUUACCAUGUUAUUAUAUACAGAGUGAAAUGUUCUGGGAUGUAAAUGGAUUUCGCAGACUAAUUCAAAAAGUAACAACUUUAUGGAGGGAAUGCUUGAAAUCUGUACAGACUUUUUAUAUUUGUUGAAACUUUUAAAAAAAAACAAAAAAAAAAACAAGUUUUUACCUCUAAUGUUGUUGUUUCUUUAUAUCUACUCUUUAUAUUUGAUAUUUUACCCUUUGUUGUUAAUAAAAAUAGAACAUAACUCACAGACUGCAUGAUUUGAGAUUAGUACUUAUGAAAGAGACCGCGAAAAAUGUACAAAAAAAAAAAAAAAGAAUAUUUUAUUUGCAGUUUCAUUAUAUUGUUGGCAAAGUAUUAUAGUCAUAGAUGUAAGGAGCUAAAUACUAAAACACCUUUGAUUUACAAAGCAUUGGAAAUCAUUCGUGUGCAAUAAGAGCCGGAGAUUUCCGGUGACUGUUGUGCCAUCUGGACAGCUACCGUUUUCUCCAUCAGGACAUGCACACAAACGACCCAUCUGUUAGUCACCCACAAUCCCCUGCGUUAAAAUCAGGCACAUAAAAGAUUGCCCCUUGAGCCAUCUGUGACUCCAAAAAAAAAAAAAAAGAAAAACUCUCGAAAAGAAUCGGCACA